CAGGUCCAGAAAGCGUGAGGAUUGACAGACUGAAAGAUCUUUCAUGAUUCGUUUGUGGGGUGGUGGCAUCGGCCGUUUUUAGUUGGUGGCUUGAGUUGUCUGGCUGAUUCCGAUAACGAACGAGACCCUCGUCGCAUAAUAGAAGGCGUCAUUGAAUUGAUCAAAAGGCGGUAGUGUUCACUUUAAUUGGAAAACCAAGCAAUUGGUCCCAGCUAAAUUGUUGAAUACACGUUUUCAAGAUGGCGAAAAAAAAAUUAAAAUUCUUCUAUGCGAGACAAAAUUUGGAAAAACCAAUUGGAAGCUGGGGGCUAGAACAGGUCUGUGAUGCCCUUCGAAGUUCUGGGCCGCACGCGUGCUACAAUGAUGUUUACAUGGAGUAAAUGAGAGGAAGAAGGAACGAGGAAGGGGAGCGAAAUUUCUUUCUUUCUUUUAUUAUCUUCUU
rnacentral:rRNA from 1 species